CAGCAGUGGAUGCCGACCUAUUGAGAUGCCUGUCACCUGUAAAGAUCCUGCAGCAGGAAUGCAUGGCCAGUGAUAUGACUUCUGACAAUGAGAACUUGGUGUGGUAAACAUCCAGAAAAGGCAGAGACAGAAGAAAGUGCACAGUAUUAGCACUGGGGUGUUUGAGAUGGGCUCUACAUGUCCUUGAUUAGCUCUAAUGAGCAGGACAGCAUCCGGUAUGGCCUGCAGAACUGUGCCUUGUACAUUUUUUGUGGGCCGAAUAUAAGUGGAUUGUUUUGAAAAUCCAUGAAUAUGACACAGUAUUCAAAUCUGUGAAGGUUAUGGAUGAGCUAUGACACUUGUACAAACUGAACAGAAUGCAACCUUAACUGUAAAGCAGCAGUUCGGCACUUUUGUGAUUGUAAAAUGGUGUUAUGGGCUAUUUCCUUAUUCAUCUGACAGUGGUUACUUGAAGUGCUGCAAUAAACAUUGCAUUGCAAAUA